GGGGAAUAUUGCACAAUGGGGGAAACCCUGAUGCAGCGACGCCGCGUGGAGGAAGAAGGAUUUCGGAUUGUAAACUUCUAUCAUCAGGGAAGAUAAUGACGGUACCUGACAAGAAAGCACCGGCUAACUACGUGCCAGCAGCCGCGGUAAUACGUAGGGAGCAAGCGUUAUCCGGAUUUACUGGGUGUAAAGGGAGCGUAGGCGGGAAGACAAGUCAGAUGUGAAAACCAUGGGCUCAACCCAUGAACUGCAUUUGAAACUGUUUUGCUUGAGUGUCGGAGAGGAAAGCGGAAUUCCUAGUGUAGCGGUGAAAUGCGUAGAUAUUAGGAGGAACACCAGUGGCGAAGGCGGCUUACUGGACGAUAACUGACGCUGAGGCUCGAAAGCGUGGGGAGCAAAC
rnacentral:rRNA from 1 species